GUUUGUUUUUGUUUUUCAAGACAGGGUCUCAUUAUGUAGUCCUGGCUGUCCUGAAAUUACUCUGUAGACCAUGGCUGAACUUGAACUCACAGACAGGACUUCUUUUAGCCAUUGAUAGUCAUAAACUCACUAGCCAAGGAUAUCCUUGAACUUCUGAUUGUUCCACCUGUACCUCCUAAGGGCACUGAUUACAGGGUUCCAAUGUUCAGGAUAUGACUUGUGACAGGAUGAAGAAUCCCUGUUCAAUUUAUCUCUUGAGUGGUCAGGAAGCUACAAGAUUGUAUACUACAGAACUUAAUGUCAAGACUCCAUUGCUGAAGAUACCAGAAAACUUGAGUUAAUGAACAUGGAGAAAUCAAGCUAUUAAUCACCUGGAUGCUUUAUCUUUGCUGGCUAUAUUUCAUAGUGCUGGAAGGUGCUAUAUAUCCUA